rnacentral:lncRNA from 1 species
AUGCCCUUGCAAACACUGGGAUUGAAGUUGUAGUUGGUGUCACCAAUGAGGAAGUCCUAGGAAUCGGACAAUCUCCAUCGACAGCGGCCACCUGGAUUAAUAGAAAUGUUGCAGCAUAUGUGCCUUCAACCAAUAUAACAGCCAUUGCUGUUGGCAGUGAGGUUCUUACUUCAAUCCCUCAUGCUGCCCCUGUUUUGGUUCCUGCCAUGAAUUACCUCCAUAAAGCCCUAGUUGCGUCAAACCUAAAUUUUCAGAUAAAAGUUUCAGCUCCACAAUCCUUGGAUAUAAUUCCUAGGCCUUUCCCUCCUUCCACUGCCACCUUCAAUUCAACAUGGAACUCUACGAUUUAUCAGAUGCUUCAGUUUUUAAAGAACACAAAUUCCUAUUUUAUGUUGAAUGCCUAUCCUUAUUAUGGAUACACCAAUGGAGAUGGGAUUUUCCC